rnacentral:lncRNA from 1 species
GAUGCUCUUAGAGGAAAGACGACUAAGGAGCACCAGCACUGCCUGGCCAAAUCAUGCAGUGGUGCUGCCCUUGUGUUUUGACCAUCUCAAUCCUGUGUGCUGCUUGCACAGUGGAGAUGCACACAACCUUCUUCAGUUAUGAGCUAUGGAAACCCCACAAACAAAAGUCAGUGACAAACAUCAUCUAUAAGUGAAGAUUUAUCACCCAAGAUAAAGGUGACCUAAGACCUGUGGCCCUGUUUCUUGUUAUGUUUGUUGAUUGCUACAGAAGAGAAAAUCACAGUCUUGGGAACAAUUCCUUCAGCUUCUCUCCUUCCUUCUCACACGCCAAGGAACAAUGAAAGUGACCACCCCCAGCUUCCAAGAUGGAUGAUCAGCCAACCUGCACCUCAUGUGCUGCGCUGUCCACAGCUGCGAACAAGAUGUAGAAGUCUUCCAGAAACUGCACAGAACCUCUUCAGAGACAAGAGAUCGAACACGCAGGGACAGCAAGAGGCUAUACUGAAUUGAGGACUGGAUGUCAGAGGUGGAGAUGGCUGGAAACAUGAGACAUGGCAACAGAACCUCUUCCACCGGUAGACUGGUAGGAACAGGCUCAGUUCUGUGGGAGAUGACAGGAAGAAGAGUCUCCAUCACAGGAGUCUUCAGGUUUUAUCAAACAUGAACCAAGCAUGCACACUAAGAGGAAGAGACAGGUGAGAGAGAUUAAAGCACGGUUAUCUGCCAUUCAGAUGUGCAAUCACAGGAGACUUGUUUCUUCAUGGGUAUCCAUAUCCGUUAUUUUGUGAAGAGACUGACAGUUUAUCCAACACUCAGCCAACAAGCCCGCCUUGCCAGUUAUCCAUGUGGACAGCAAUAAUAGUUCCAGGAGAGGCCCUGAGACCCCAAGAACAUAAAGAGUAAUUUAUUGGUCGCUGCACCUAGGUUGUGAGGGAAAAGCUUGCAAGUCAAGUUGAUGUUCUACCUGAAAGAAGCUGUGUGUCUCUUGCAUGUACAACUGAAGAGAUGUUCUUAUAAGCAGAAGUCUAUGCUAAAGGCCACGUCAUGUCCUCUUCCUGGGCUCUCCCAUGCAAAGCCAGACAAAUCUCAUGGUACAAUGCAGUGUAUUUCUUGUUUUUCACAGUCAAGGAAUGUGACUUUGCUAUCAGUGCUGCCACAGACAGAAUGUACACAAGCCCUGGGAACAUCUCAGAGAACAGAAUUUAUCAAGGGAACAUAGGAGUCAUAACAACUCCCAGAGGAGCACCAGUCAACAUUAAAGUGCUCAUGUUGUGACUGGCUGGUGCUGAUGAUGGUGUUUAAGCUUUUGCUUUUCUGUUCAAAGUGCGGAUCCCCUUUCAACAAAAUCAACCCUCAUAUAUGCCACAGGAAAUUACAUCUGAUUGAUGUUUGUUUCAGAGAAGAGACCCUCGAAUUACCAAAAAAUUAGAUAUGGUCUGACAUUCUUCAGUGCAGAAAACUAUUUUCUUUAAUUUGUUUUUUUUAUAUACCAUUCUUUUCUGGAAUGCCAUCUUCUGUAAAUCCAUAUUAUUUCUGUAACAAUCUAAACCACUAAAUGAUGGUGGGAGGAAUCCUUUCCCAGAAAAUUGGAUAGGACCCAGAUAGGGCAGAAGAGAACCUAAUGAGUUUUCCUACAUAGUGUUAUCCUGUGAAAGCUGUGUGACAGGAAGGGAUAAAUCAUAGAAUAGAAUCAUAGAACGGUUUGGGUUGUAAAGGACCUUUAAAAUCUUUUCAUUCCAGCCUCCCUGCUACAGGUAGGGACACCCCCUUCUUGAUGAGGCUGCUCACAGACCCAUCCAACCUGGCUUGGAUUUCUUCCAUGGAGGUGGCAUCCACAACAUCUCUGGGAAACCUGUUCCAAUGUCCCACCACCCUCACAGUGAAGAAUUUCUUCCUAAUCUCUAGCCUAAUAUGCCCUCUUAUAGUUUAAAGCCAUUGCUCUUACAAGAGCUAUUAGGGAGGCAGUCUGCUUUUAGACUUGUUCUACUCCCACAGUAAAUUCUAAGCCAGAUUUUUGUGAAUGCUGCACACACUGUGUGAAGCCUGUGAGCCUCUUCAAGCCCACAGCUAUUUAUAAAAGCUGAUGAUUACACCACAUUUUUCACCCCAGUGCUCCCAAAGGACGUUGCAAACAUCUGGUUGAACAGACAUCUCUUGAUCUGAAACUGUUACAAUCCAGCUGCUAACACAUGGCAACUGCUUAGCAUUUGGAGGGGCAGGGAAAGCUAUAGUGUAUUUACUUCUAUCUUUACCAUCAAUGUUAUUGCUCACUUCAAUACAAUUUCAGGAUUUCGGUCAUCAGAGAGGUCAGGUGAAGCAGUAGAUUUAAAAAUCUAAAUGUCCGGAAAUCAAGAAUCAAGAAGCUGAAAUGAUGAAUCUGCCCAUGGGAGGCAUCUCAACAGUAGUCAUCUGUUCACAUGGUUCAUUCUAGAAAGAAGAGAUCCUGAAGUAUGAACCCAGGUGGCUGUGCCCCUCCUGGUUGUCAUAUCCUUGUAUCCACAUUUGUAUUCUCUGUCCUUCAUCUGUGACUCAGAUUUUUAAUUAGUAACUCCUGAAUUAAGCCCAGAGCACUUGCUUGAGGUAAUGCUUGUUUUUAGAAAGUUGUCCUGUAUUACUUUCAAGUCUUCCAUUAAUGAAAACACCCUACAGUAGCUAAUGAGUUGUCCCAGUAAUUCAUUCUACUGCCUUUGAAAAGGCACAGAUCAUUCUUGCACUAAAUCUAGUUAGUGCCUUCUUUCAGCCAGGGGCACACUGAAUACAGUUUUCAGGCACCAAUCGUUAUGAGCAGAUGCCUGCUCCAACAGUAAACUUUUGACACCUGGUUUGCUUUAUCCAUGAAAGCGAUUGGAGAGCUGGUAAGCCUGCUUGUUCUUAGAGACUUAGUGUUAAAUUUAAUACUCUGUAACAAAGGAUCUUUCCUAGCUAAUAAUGAGCACAAUUUCUUAGAUUAACUUGUGUCCAUGAAUAAAGUUCCUCCCCUUCCUGACUUGUUUGAACAGAUUUAUGGCAUCCUUUUCUAUGUCUGUUUCAGUAGACUGAAGAGAUUCCAGCCUUGGUCUCAAGCAGUUCUAUGACCAUCUUCACUGUCACAUUUUUAGCAUUAUCCCUUGUGUGGAUUUAUCCUGAGCAAGCUGGUUUUCCCCUGGAAUACCAAUAUUUCAGAAAUCUGAGAAGUCCACAAUGCAUAUUUAUUUUGAAAGUCAUGGAGAAGCUCUCAGUGAGGCCACCAUAUUUGGAUAUAGAGCUGUAUGAGUAGAAACACUUUAUGCUUUUAUGCAAACCGAAGGCAUCAUUAUGACACACUACUACAGGAACAUAAAAAUCGAACACUGUUGUUCUUGCUCAGAGGGAGGUGAAGGCCUUUGGUACCUUUCCCUUGGGAGAAACUGCCCAUCCAGUACUGCUGGGGGAAUAUUUGGAGGGAAUUAUUGGUGUCUGAUAGGUAGCUGUAUGUGCAAGGUUUAUUUUUAUUAUAUAUUAUAUAAAUUAUAUAAUAUAUAAUAUUAUAUUAUAGAUAUAUAAUGAGCAGUUAUCUUAUGCUUGCAGCAUGGAUUGGGCUCCCUGCUUGUGUAGUCAGAGAUCUUUGCACUUGUAUCUAGCUGGGAAAUCCCAACCUCAGCGUGGUAACCAUAGGAGUACAUGCAAUUGUUACUGCCUAUAAUUUGUGUUGACAAGAUCAGUCAAAACAUUCAUUACGUAUCAGUGCAAUGUUUUAUAUAGAACACCCUACUCAGCUGUGAGGGGACAUAUCUGCAGAGGUAUGUAGGUGCCUCACCACUUUUAGAAGCUUAACUCCCCCAGAUUCAGGGGAAGUAGGUCCCUAAAUGCCUCUAUAGCACUGGUAGAAUACCAGAGAGAGAGAGGUCUCUUGAACUAUUCCCACACACUCUUUGUCCUUUCUUUCUUUAUUUCUACUGAAUUAUUCUCACAAAAAUAAAGGGUGUUUUUUUUUCCUGAAUUUGAAUGAGUAUAUACAUUAUGUUUCAGUUGCAUAAUAUUAUUGCUUUAGCAAUCGUUUGGCAAAUAGAAUUGCCCCCCACAUUGUGUAAUGAAAAUAUAACACAUUUUAGCAUUCUUCUGAGAUUUAAUUUCUUGUCAAGCUGUACAUUUAUAAAAAAAGUCAUUUCAUAAAAAUUGAAGACAGUACUCAUUCAGUCAUCUGUUGCAACCAUCUGCUGCUGAUACAUUAUUUUGAUUUACCAUCCUUUGUCUUCUUCAAGGAAGUCAACUGUGAUUUUAUUAUUCUUUUCACUCAAAGCACGAUAGAGACUUCAUUCAACUUACCACUCAAGGUGAAUUAUAAUAUAACCUUCUUCCAUCACUCUGCAGUUGAGCUUGAAAUUUCUACACCAAUAGUAUUGUGAUACUGUAAUUUUCCCCAUCAUUAAUAUUUUUGCAGUCUCCUGUAUGUUAAUGAUAUUUUAAAACUCACAAGAAAAAGUAGCACUUCAGCAGAGAAGUAUUUUGAAGGGUACUGAGUCAUAGUCAAUGGCCUCUUUCAAGUGUCACUUAAUUUAGUGCACCAAUUGCCAGG